rnacentral:lncRNA from 1 species
GUCCAGUGGCUGGGCUGCCAUCCUCCAGGGCCAAGGGUUGGAUCUAAAGCUGAAGGACAGUGAACCCGAACAGACUGGGUGUCCCCGAGGAAUCGGGGAUGGCCAGAGCUCUGCCGAACAACUUGGAACAUUUCCUGAAAGUAAAUGGCCACAAGGAGGUUUGAAAGGAACAGAAGAUUAUCCAGUUCAACCAAAUCUAUGCCCAGAGGGAGGAGCUUGCAACUGGAAAAUGCACGGAGCUAAGAGUUUGUCCUUGCUGUGUCUGAGGCUGCUGUGUGGCCUGGCAGAAGCUGCUGACCUGCUUGGACCAUACUUUCUUUUACAAGAGAAGAAAGAAUGACCUGCUCAGUCUUCCUUACAACCUUGCUUUGAAGGACAACCGCAUGUGAAAGCCCAGUAUGAGGAGUGGAGCAGGACCAAAGCCAUCCCCUUUCCUCUCCUACACAGAAUGCAGUCACAUUCUAGUCUCCUUUCACGGGCUGCCUAAUUUCUGGCACAUCUAGCCAAAUGUGAUUAACAAGGAAAAGUUUAAUAUAGAACCACUCCCUUUCCUGACUCACAGAGAAAAUGAGGUAAUCUCGAAUAUUGUACUAAAAUAAAGGAUUUACAAGUUGAGUUUGAUAUUUGGCUGCUCUGUACUAAGCAUUUUCACAUGCA